rnacentral:rRNA from 1 species
UACAGAGGUCCCGAGCGUUGUUCGGAUUCAUUGGGCGUAAAGGGUGCGUAGGCGGUGGGGUAAGUUGGAUGUGAGAUCUUGGGGCUUAACCUCAAAAUUGCAUUCAAUACUGCUCCGCUCGAGUUCUGUAGAGGAGAUUGGAAUUUACGGUGUAGCAGUGAAAUGCGUAGAUAUCGUAAGGAACGCCAGUGGCGAAAGCGAAUCUCUGGGCAGCAACUGACGCUGGGGCACGAAGGCCAGGGGAGCAAACGGG